GCACACGUGGCGAAGUGGUCAAACGCGGUUGGCUGCAACCCAACUAAUCUCAGGUUCAAAUCCUGACGUGUGCU
rnacentral:tRNA from 1 species